GGAUGUGAGGGCACUCUGGCUGUGACGCCCCUGUCACCCCCCCCCCCCCAUCCAUCGCCAGGCUUGAUCAGGCAGAUCCGGACGGCUGUGCCGGGGUCCCCUCCCUCCCUGCUCCGUGUGCGUCCCUCCCGAAGCUGUGUGCACCGUCCAAGGGGACGACCUUCUGCGACAGAGGAGGACCGUUCCUGGGUCAACGUACACGAGUAGCCCAUGCUGCCAAUAGAAGCUCCAGACAAGCUCUCGAGGUCUGUUUGGAGGAGAACGUGGGACAGUCAGGCUACCUGCCUGCCUCAUCCAGGCACCAGGCACGUACUGGUGAGCUGAU
rnacentral:snRNA from 1 species